AAUGUUUGUUAUGGGUUUUCAUUCUUGAGUCCAUAAAAAGAGGGAAGCAUUUGGAUGACACUAGACUUAAUUUCAAACUGCACAGCAGCAAUGGUAUCAAGUAGUCGAAUACAAGAUGGAGAGGUAUAAAUGGAAGGAGUAAAGUACUCCUUUAACAGCUUGGGUUAUUCUUCAGCCAUCUCGAUAGGUGGAGCAGAUCCUAUGGUUCUAUAGGUGCGGAUUUCGGCUCGAAGGGCCCUAAUAGAACGCUCUAUUUCAAAAUUAAAAGGUAUUAAUUCAGGAGAUCUGGAACGACACCCUAGCAUACACUAAUACUCUUCUGAUCAGUCAAGUACAGUCAAGCAUGCACUAAAAGAAAAACACAUCAAAUCCUUGUACUUGCCCUAAAAUCACUAGACAGCUCCUAACUGGUUUGAAGAGGGCACCUAAGCCUCCAAUCUGGUCUAAUGAACUGAGUUGACCAGGUAAGCUCCCAGGUAAGUGGGGGGGUCACGAUGCAUUCGCAAAGGUCCCACUUGAAAACCACUUGCCUUGAAUAGAUGAACUAUCUCCCUUAUAGGGACA
rnacentral:lncRNA from 1 species